rnacentral:lncRNA from 1 species
GAAAGUGUAGAAAAUGUAAAAAAUGUAAAAAGUGAUAUAAAGAAAAAUAUACAAGAAAAACAGUUGUAUAUUAAAAACAAACUAAUAAUAUAUAAAAAAAAUAUACUAAAAAAAAACACAAUCUAAAAAACAUAACCAAAGAAGAUUUUAUAUUUUUUAAACAAAAAAAUGUAAAUAACUAUAUGGGUUUUUUAAAAAUUUUGUAUUUAUAUAUGAAUAAAAAUAAUGAUGUAAAGUUUAUAAAUAAAACUUUUACAUACACAUAUAUUUUAAGACAAAUUAAAACAAUUAAUAUAUCUUUAGUCAACAAAAGUUUAAUUUUAAAAUACGAAAAUAUGUCUAAUGUACAUAAGUUUUUAAAUUAUAAAUUUGUUAACUUAAUUCAUAAUUAUAUUGUUUCUAUUAAUGAUUAUGUAAAAGAAAAAGAAUUAAUUUCUAGUGAGUAUGUAAAAUUAAGAGAGCUUUAUUCAGAACUUACACUGUUGAAAGAUGCAAAAAAAAAGGCGCUGAUAGACUCAGUGCUGGAUCUUAAACACUCGGACAACAUCAAAGCAUUGAUGGAAGAAACACUCUCCAUUUAUGACGAUAUAAAAUUAAAUAUAAAAAAAAAAGACAAAAAUUAAUAGUAAAAUCUAUUAUGAUUGAAUAUUGUUCAUGUUUAACUGAAAAAGAAACAAACAACUUUUUUAAAUUAGUUUUAAAAAAAAAAAAGAAUUCAAAGAUGUAUUUUAUAUGAAGAACACACAAGAAGGUGUUGAAAAAAACGUAUAACAACGUGAGCAAACAAAAUGAGACAAUAACAAAAAAAAGUAAUGAAAAAAAAAUGGAUAUACGAGUGGUAAUGUCGAUUCUGAUGAAGAUAUUGACAGUAUUAUCGAAUGUAGUGAUUGUGAAGAAUUUAGUGGAUACGAAGUAAUUGGAGCAGAUAAAACAGUCGGUAUGAGUAAAGUGAGCAAUACAAACUACAAACAUCUUAUGAGCAACAAAUUUAUAUACAAAUACAACCAUAUGAACAACUGCAACGAUGAUAUGAUAAUGUUUAAAUGUUACACAUUGGAUAAAUUAAAAAAAUGUAAGUAUGGUUAUAUGUGUUGAUCCUUUUUAUCAAUUAAAAAAAUAUAUUUUAAAAAAAUUAAAAAAUAAAAAUAAAAAACAUAUA